rnacentral:rRNA from 1 species
GAUGACCGCGGCGGCUAACCAUGCAAGUCGAGGGGAAACGACGGGGAAGCUUGCUUCCCCGGGCGUCGACCGGCGCACGGGUGAGUAACGCGUAUCCAACCUGCCUCUGACUGAGGGAUAACCCGUCGAAAGUCGGCCUAAUACCUCAUGGUAUCGUCUGCGGGCAUCCAACGACGAUUAAAGAUUUCAUCGGUCAGGGAUGGGGAUGCGUCUGAUUAGCUUGUUGGCGGGGUAACGGCCCACCAAGGCUACGAUCAGUAGGGGUUCUGAGAGGAAGGUCCCCCACAUUGGAACUGAGACACGGUCCAAACUCCUACGGGAGGCAGCAGUGAGGAAUAUUUGUCAAUGGGCGAGAGCCUGAACCAGCCAAGUAGCGUGCAGGAAGACGGCCCUAUGGGUUGUAAACUGCUUUUAUGCGGGGAUAAAGUGAGGGACGUGUCCCUCAUUGCAGGUACCGCAUGAAUAAGGACGGUA